rnacentral:lncRNA from 1 species
UUCAAUUUAUGUUGAUAUGUAUUUAAUUUGAUAUUUUAUAUAACCACAUCAUCCAUUCAUUCAUAUUUUGUUGACACAUGUAUCUUCAAGUACAAUUUGUGGGCUCUGUCCUUUUCCAAAAUUAGUUUAUAAAAUUUCUAUUUUUUCUUCUCUUUCCCUUCUUUUAUUCUUCACCCGUCUCCUAUAUAGCAUCUUCCUCAAUGCCACUGCCCAUCUUCAUAGCGCCAGAACCAUCGGCUCUAAAUACAACAUCAUCCUCCUCUUCAUCGUCAAGCUAACUAUCUUCAUCUUCUUCUUCGCCUU